rnacentral:rRNA from 1 species
UGGGGAAUAUUGCACAAUGGGGGAAACCCGUGAUGCAGCAACGCCGCGUGAGUGAAGAAGUAUUUCGGUAUGUAAAGCUCUAUCAGCAGGGAAGAAGAUGACGGUACCUGACCAAGAAGCCCCGGCUAACUACGUGCC